AUUGAACGCUGGCGGCAUGCUUUACACAUGCAAGUCGAACGGUAACAGGUUAAGCUGACGAGUGGCGAACGGGUGAGUAAUGCAUCGGAACGUGCCCGAUCGUGGGGGAUAACGCAGCGAAAGCUGCGCUAAUACCGCAUACGAUCUGAGGAUGAAAGCGGGGGACCGUAAGGCCUCGCGCGAUCGGAGCGGCCGAUGUCAGAUUAGUGAGGUGGUGGGGUAAAGGCCCACCAAGCCGACGAUCUGUAGCUGGUCUGAGAGGACGACCAGCCACACUGGGGCUGAGACACGGCCCAGACUCCUACGGGAGGCAGCAGUGGGGAAUUUUGGACAAUGGGCGAAAGCCUGAUCCAGCAAUGCCGCGUGCAGGAAGAAGGCCUUCGGGUUGUAAACUGCUUUUGUACGGAGCGAAAAGGUCCUUUCUAAUACAAGGGGCUCAUGACGGUACCGUAAGAAUAAGCACCGGCUAACUACGUGCCAGCCGCCGCCGUAA
rnacentral:rRNA from 1 species